UUUACAAAUGCCUCACGAUUGCAGAAACACCUGCUUUACAUUAAUUUUCUUGCUGGUCCACAACAAAAUUCCUCCCUGGUCAACAGUUCUCAGCAGACCUUUCUUCCUCCUGUGUGGAUGGCUCAAACCACUGGUUUCUAAAUCCUGGGCCACUACGAGAUCACACUAGAAUCUCCUUGAGUAGGAGGGCGAAUCAGAAGGCAGAAGGGCACUUUUGUGCAGAAUCAUGCCAAACUGUUGGCCAGAGGGCCAGAACCACACGACGCUGCUUACUGUCAGGUGGGGGAAGCGGGGCAGGGGGUUACCCAGGCCAAACGGAUGGAUCUGUAAGACCCAUCUGUUUUCACCAUAAAAACCUCACAGCCCACACCUAUGCAACACACAGCACUCCAGUCACCACAAGUUAUUACUCUUGGUCUCCACUGCUUCCUGUGAAGCUGUAAUGGGUCUGAGACAGCAUCCAAUGAAACCAAAGGGAGCCUUUCCAUUAACUCAAUGGGCUCUGGAUCAGGCCCAACAUCUGUUUGGCCCUCUCUGUACAUAGCACAGCCAAUUUAUUCUUUAUCCAUUCCUGGGCCUCUCUCUCCAAUAGCAUCCAUAUUUUUCCUACUUAUGGUUGUCAUUAACCACACUAAGCACCACCCCCAGAGAGACCAUCUGUGCCCCAUGGCAGCCAAUCCCUUGGCAUGGCAUAGCAAUGAGUGCUGCCCCAACCCCUUAUCAUCUCAGCAAGGACUCUCCUCUCUCUUUGUUCAGGUUUCCAGGACAUCCCUUGGAGCUGCCAAGCUCUUCCUACUCUCCCCUCCUCACCCAAGUAGAGGGCAGGUUGUGCCUUCUCUUCUGUUGUAAACCUGGUGAAGAAUCAAUGCCAAAUCCAGACAGCAAGGUCCAAGAGCUCUCUGAACAGGCAUUUCCCACCUUGGCUAAUGACAGUUCAGGCAAUGACUUCCCUGGAGAUCCAGAGUACAAGGGAGAAUAGCCAACAGGCAGCUCCUUCAUCUUAUACUGGAGUGCAGAGCUAGAGUAAGAGAUUCAUUCUUCAAACUGUCUGUGUAAGACCAUAGAAUAUCUUAAGUUGGGUGGGACCCAGAAGGUUCAUUAAGUCCAACUCUCCAGCUCCUCACAGGACUACUUAAAACUGAACCAUAUGACUACGAGCAUCGUUCAGACACUCCUUGAACUCUGACAGGCUUGGUGGUGUUACCACUUCCUUGAGGUUCUUCCCCCACCGUUCCCAUAUCUUCUCAAGUGUGAAUGCAGACACUGUGCCAGUUCACAGCACUUCCAUCUCCACUCUCACCAAAUCUGUGAUUCACUUUGCAGAGAUAAGACAGGACCAGGCACAAAGCCCUCUCUAGGUCUCCCAGUGACAGACAGAGCAAUGGUCCAUGAGACGCCAUCCAAUCACUGAGCAAUACAUGACAUUCAUUUCUUUAUGACUCUGCCAAGCCCCUGGAUUCCAAGAUCUUUUUUCCAACUGGCACACAUGGAUUCCCAAGCUGUGACAUGCAUGUCAUCGCUAAGCAGAGCAACAGCCUUUGCUGAGAAGCCAAGCAGCUUCUUACAGCAGAAAAACAAGCCCCCGGUGCUAAAUCUAGAGAUUCUUCCAAGCACAGAGCUGCAGAUUCAUUGUGGGCACUGCCACUGCAAAAGUCAGAAUCCCAUACAAAAAUACCUUGCCAAUGUACCCCCGAAAUCACAUGAGUUUGGAAACGGGACUGUUGCCUGAGGCCAGAUGUGGGGACUGGCAGGCUGCUGGCACUGCACAGAGGCACAUCUGCAUGUCAGGGUUUUCUCCUGGUGCAGCUGUUGUUCAGCUCUAGGAAGAGGAGGACAGUUUGGGAUGGAGUUACCUCAGCAAUAGCAGAAGUGUAUAUGGCAUCUCAAUACAUGCACAUGACAUUUUUUCUCCCUAAAAUAAAAAGUAGAUCUCUGUCUCUCUAAA